CCUAAAUCUCAUCCAUGGAUAUCGACCAAAUGUGAAGACAUCGUGAUGUUUGCGAAUGAGCUUUUCUACCUCCUCCGUCUGUUCUGGUGGCAAAGCAGUAGCUUUGAUCUUGGCAUCCAAGUCUACAGACCGUCAAGCUGGCGAUGACCGGUCUGGCUGUCAAGCUGGCGAUGAUCAGCCCCCUCCGCUCUUGCCUGAGACGUUACUGUGAGGCACUUCGUUUCCGGAGGUGAAGCAGAAGUGGACAGUUUCCUUUCCAGCUCCGGACGGCGACUAUACCCACUAAUCGUCAUGGCAAGCAACGCGUCGGACUAUUCCGACUCAUCAACCACCAGGUGCUGACUCCUGGUCUGCAUAGUUGACAUCAGUUUGACUGUCGGAGCCUUCAACUUCUACCUUCCAAACCUUUUUGCUGUGUGUCUCUGAGGUCAAAGACAGCGCUCUAUUUACGUGGGUAAGUGCAUCUUCCACUGAGUUGACUGAUGCAUAGCAAAUGCGCUCUGCCAUUUUCCUAUCUGUUAGCCCCUUGAUGAAAGCCUUAACUCCGGCUUGGUCCCUAUCAAUUUGAUUGCUGUUUGGCAUGUAAUCAACCACAGCUUCCUUAACUUUCUGAGCGUAAGCUCUCAGAGUCUGUCCCUCUUCUUGCUUAAGUGACUCGUAAACUCGAGUCCUUUCCCACAACUCUCUCCGGAUAUGGAAAGUGUCCUCCAAC